rnacentral:rRNA from 1 species
AUGCAAGUCGAGCGGUAGAGAGGUGCUUGCACCUCUUGAGAGCGGCGGACGGGUGAGUAAAGCCUAGGAAUCUGCCUGGUAGUGGGGGAUAACGCUCGGAAACGGACGCUAAUACCGCAUACGUCCUACGGGAGAAAGCAGGGGACCUUCGGGCCUUGCGCUAUCAGAUGAGCCUAGGUCGGAUUAACUAGUUGGUGAGGUAAUGGCUCACCAAGGCGACGAUCCGUAACUGGUCUGAGAGGAUGAUCAGUCACACUGGAACUGAGACACGGUCCAGACUCCUACGGGAGGCAGCAGUGGGGAAUAUUGGACAAUGGGCGAAAGCCUGAUCCAGCCAUGCCGCGUGUGUGAAGAAGGUCUUCGGAUUGUAAAGCACUUUAAGUUGGGAGGAAGGGCAUUAACCUAAUACGUUAGUGUUUUGACGUUACCGACAGAAUAAGCACCGGCUAACUCUGUGCCAGCAGCCGCGGUAAUACAGAGGGUGCAAGCGUUAAUCGGAAUUACUGGGCGUAAAGCGCGCGUAGGUGGUUCGUUAAGUUGGAUGUGAAAUCCCCGGGCUCAACCUGGGAACUGCAUUCAAAACUGUCGAGCUAGAGUAUGGUAGAGGGUGGUGGAAUUUCCUGUGUAGCGGUGAAAUGCGUAGAUAUAGGAAGGAACACCAGUGGCGAAGGCGACCACCUGGACUGAUACUGACACUGAGGUGCGAAAGCGUGGGGAGCAAACAGGAUUGUAUACCCUGGUAGUCCACGCCGUAAACGAUGUCAACUAGCCGUUGGGAGCCUUGAGCUCUUAUUGGCGCAGCUAACGCAUUAACUUGACCGCCUGGGGAGUACGGCCGCCCGGUGAAAACUCAAAUGAAUUGACGGGGGCCCGCACAAACGGUGGAGCAUGUGGUUUAAUUCGAAGCAACGCGAAGAACCUUACCA